rnacentral:rRNA from 1 species
AGCAGCCGCGGUAAUUCCAGCUCCAAUAGCGUAUAUUAAAGUUGUUGCAGUUAAAAAGCUCGUAGUUGAAUUUCGGGAUCAAUUAAUUGGUCGUGCCUCUGGUACGUACUGAUUUUAUUGGUUUCUCCCUUCUGACGAACCAUGAUGUCAUUAAUUUGGUGUCGUGGAGAAUCAGGACUGUUACUUUGAAAAAUUAGAGUGUUUAAAGCAAGCUAACGCUUGAAUACAUUAGCAUGGAAUAAUGAAAUAGGACGUUUGAUCCUAUUUUGUUGGUUUCUAGGAUCGACGUAAUGAUUAAUAGGGAUAGUUGGGGGCAUUAGUAUUCAAUUGUCAGAGGUGAAAUUCUUGGAUUUAUUGAAGACUAACUACUGCGAAAGCAUUUGCCAAGGAUGUUUUCAUUAAUACAAGAACGAAAGUUAGGGGAUCGAAGACGAUCAGAUACCGUCGUAGUCUUAACCAUAAACUAUAGCCGACUAGGGAUCGGAUGAUG